rnacentral:tRNA from 1 species
GCCCCGGUAGCUCAGCGGUUAGAGCAACGGACUCAUAAUCCGGAGUGCGCCGGUUCGAAUCCGGCCCGGGGCA